UACGUAGGGGGCAAGCGUUGUCCGGAUUUAUUGGGCGUAAAGAGCGUGUAGGCGGCUUUACAGGUCCGUUGUGAAAACUCGAGGCUCAACCUCGAGACGCCGGUGGAAACCGUAAGGCUAGAGUCCGGAAGAGGAGAGUGGAAUUCCUGGUGUAGCGGUGAAAUGCGCAGAUAUCAGGAAGAACACCAAUGGCGAAAGCAGCUCUCUGGGACGGUACUGACGCUGAGACGCGAAAGCGUGGGGAGCGAACAGG
rnacentral:rRNA from 1 species